ACUCAAAGGAAUAGACGGGGGCCCGCACAAGCGGUGGAGCAUGUGGUUUAAUUCGACGCAACGCGAAGAACCUUACCUGGGCUCGAACGGCUUCUUAACGGCGGUGGAAACAUCGCUAUCCCGCAAGGGAGUGGAGCCGAGGUGCUGCAUGGCUGUCGUCAGCUCGUGUCGUGAGAUGUUGGGUUAAGUCCCGCAACGAGCGCAACCCUUGUCCUGUGUUGCCAUGUCCGCAAGGACGGAACUCUCAGGAGACCGCCAGCGAUAAGCUGGAGGAAGGUGGGGAUGACGUCAAGUCCUCAUGGCCUUUAUGUCCAGGGCGACACACGUGCUACAAUGGCCGGUACAAAGCGUUCCCAAGCCGCGAGGCGGAGGCAAUCGCAAAAAACCGGUCUCAGUUCGGAUCGCAGGCUGCAACCCGCCUGCGUGAAGCCGGAAUCGCUAGUAAUGGCGUAUCAGAACGAUGCCGUGAAUACGUUCCCGGGCCUUGUACACACCGCCCGU
rnacentral:rRNA from 1 species